AACAACCAAUGGCUACUAGUCUCCUACCCUCAAUAUUGAGGUCCCUGCUAUAGGGUCUAGAGUUCCAUUUCCCAUCACCAAAAAUGAGCACCAUCAAGGCUGAUGCUUGUCAUCUUAUAUCUCAAAUCUCCUAACUUCUACUGUUCUUUCCUUGUGCUUGCCUCAUUUCCCUUGUACAGACAACCCAAGCCUUAGUUCAAAGGGCCGUGGUUGGGAGGACACUGAUGAACUCUACAGAGAAUCACCAACCCUCUCAGACACUAGUCCAAGGCUCUCUAAGAUGCCCAUUUCACCUUCCCUGCAGGAUGAAAUCAUCACAGUUCCCUUAGUUCUUUCCAGUAACAUGGACCCAUAAAGGGACCACCCACCUGUUGUCAUACAUGACUGAUACAGGUUUAAGCUAGAAUAACUGUUCAAGAUGCCCGUGGCUCAACAACAAGCCCCUUGCCCUUUUCUUUUCUUUUUUUUUUUAAUUUAUCUAUUUAUGAUAGACACAGAGAGAGGCAGAGACACAGGCAGAGGGAGAAGCAGGCUCCAUGCAGGGAGCCCGACGUGGGACUCGAUCCUGGGACUCCAGGAUCACGCCCUGGGCCCAAGGCAGGCACCAAACCGCUGAGCCACCCAGGCUGCCAUCCGCUUGCCCUUUUCUUUAAAUGAUUAGCCUUGUCUGUGCCAGAGGGCUUCCCAACUUCAGUUAGCCUGCACAACACCACUCCUAGUAAUAUACCUUGGUGCAGGCAUCAGUGGAGAGUGUUAUAUGGGAAUCCAGGGAGUGAUGGGGGUUUUAACCAAAUCUCUGGGAGGUAUGGAGGCGUGCAGAGAAUCAUGAAUGAAUGGUAACUUCUUUGCAACACACAGGUAAACAAGGGAACUUUUUGGAAAACAAUGCACUUCAUUUUUUUAAAUGCCAAUUCAAUAUCUUUUGACUUUUGUUGCCCUAUUGUUCUCCUUCCAAACAUAAACCAUGACUGGAUGGUGACACUGUGACUACACCUGGGGAUUUUGCAGAAUGCCUUCUACACCUCAGAGUUCUAUUUCCUCUCUCAAUUGUUCUACUUUAUCUAAAACUUGGCUUUCAGACGCCCUUUCAGUUGUUUAUAACCUACAAAUAAUUACAAUUAGUAUGAUUGUUGUUAGAAUACACAGCCAGCCAACUUGAACAUCUCCCACAAUUCCUGCUUUGAAGGGAAAUCCUGUUCUUCAGAUGUAGCCACAACUUAAUUAAAUUUUUUUAUAGUUUUCUCCAAAUUUGACUUAUCUUCCCCAAACCACCUGGAAGAAGUAGUAAAUACUCUUUCCUCCUCUUCCCUCCAGCUCACCUGGAUGGCCUCUCCUCCCCCAGAUUCUCCCUAGCACCAAAGAAUUGAACUAUCACAGCAAUUCCUUCAAAGUCUUAGCAACAUACCUAUCAAAUUAAGAGCAGAGAGAAACUUGGGGGAGUUCAUUUUGAUACGUGAAUCCUCACUAAUCCCUUCUCAGAUAAACAAUGAUAGUUUACAAUUAUUAUUUCUUGUUAGGAAUUAGGUACUCUUCUCUCUCUUACUUCAACAGACUUCUGUCCCUUUGUAGUUGAUACUUUGAAAAAAGUCUAUGGAAUUCUCUACUCCAGCUCCUAUGUUUGUGUCACAUACCACACGUGUACUGUGAGGAAGCAGCAGCUUCAGAGGUGACCAGUGCAGAUGCUGUGACAACACACGGCACCUGGAAGGGCUCAGUAACCAGAGUGGAAUAUUUGGCUGUUUGUCCCAGGUAUUUUGUUUGUUUGUUUGUUUUUAACAAAAAAUGCCUGAGUUGUUUUUCAGGUUGAUCAUUUACGGGCAUAAAUCUCACAAUAUCAAGGUGCCCGGGUGGCUCAGUUGGUUAAGCAUCCAACUCUUUAUAUCCAAUGCUCAGGUCCUGAUCUCAGGGUGGUGAGAUCGAGCCCCAUGUCGGGGUCUGCAUUGGGCAUAGAGCCUGCUUAAGAUUCUCUCUUUCCCUCUCCCUCUGUCCCACCCUUCCCUCUCUCUCCCUCUUAAAAUAAAUAAAUAAAUAAAAACCUCACAAUUUAGAUUGUAAACUCUCCAUGAAUAGGAGUAUAUCUUUGGUUUUUAAAUUUCAAAUAAUAAUGGAUUCCCAACGAUUAUCAGUCAUCUGUUCUCAGAGGUAAACCAUGAACAAAUCCCUUUUAAAAACAUCAAGAAAACAUGUCUAAUGAAGAAUUGAAUUUGCAGCACUCACCCAUCAAAUGUUUUGCUUCCCUAUUACCAUCAGCUACAGGUCUGCAGGUGAGGGUUGAUGGGAAACGUUGGCUCUCAAUCGUCUGCAGGGGGUAAUGAGGGCUGCUAAUUUGAGUCUGUGUUCUGCCUCUCAGUGCUGCUACCCUCCUCUCACCUGGGGACUCUGCUCCUACCUUCCCUGCCUUGGAGACUAAACUGAUGCUCCAACCUUUGACCAGCUGAUACCUUUAAGGUUUUUGACAUAGUCUACCUAAGUGCAUUCCACAAAGGCUGUACCAACACUCACACCAAUAGCACCAACAGUGUCAAUUUUCUAGCACUCUCACCAAAACUGAGCAUGAGGAAAUGUAUGGUGGGUGGUGGAAGUCUCUCACUGUUGGAACGACAGGUUUCAGCUAAGCAAAGUGAGAAGCUAGAAUGAACCAUGCAGUACUGGAUGAGAAUCAGCCAGAAGUAUGAGCCCAUGUUUAGCUUAAUACAGACACAGAUGGAUACAGACAGAGAAAUAAUAUCGAUAUACAGGUACAUGUGUGGUAGUAUAAACACAUACUAGUUCACAGCACUAUACCCUAAGAGUGCCUAGAAGUAACAACACCCAGUAGCAAUAAGCACAGCUAGGGCCCAGAUCUUGGUAUCUAAAACCAUUCUCUAGGAAAAGGAACCAGAGCUUCUUGAGAAAAUGGCUAAUUCUGGGACUGGGGCAUUAAAUAUAUAAGAUGGGCAUGGAGCGGGAUGCCUGGGUAGCUCAGUGGUUGAGUGUCUGCCUUUGGCUCAGGGCAUGAUCCCAGGGUCCUGGGAUCGAGUUCUGCAUCAGGCUCCCUCUGGGGAGCCUGCUUCUCCCUCUGCCUGUGUCUCUGCCUCUCUCUGUGUGUCUCUCAUGAAUAAAUAAAUAACAUCUUAAGAAAAAAAAAAAAAAAGAUGGGCAUGGAGCAUUUUAACAGUCCCAGAAAGUAGGGAAGUGCUCAAAAAACAAAUGCUGGGGGCCUGCCUGGGAACUCACAGGGGCCAACCUGAAAGGAAGUUAGGACAAUUUGACUGACAAAAUAAAUGACAUAAUAUUGGAUUACAACCCAAAGUAUAACAUAAACAUCCAUAAAUCCAUGCUAAUAUAAAUAAUUAAAUGAGGAAGAAGAGACACCUCUCUGUGCAGAAUUCGAAAGAAUUAUGUAGAUACACCACCCUCAAGGAGGUGGAACAUAACUCCCCACUCCUUCAGUGUGGGCUACAUAGUAACUUCCUUCCAAAUAGUAUAGUAUGGGAAGGGGAGGAAAAGAGUUAUUUACAGUGGAGAAAUCUGACAAUACUACCAGCUGACCAGAGCUGACAUCAACAGUGAUGAGCCAUGUUGAUAGUACGUAUCCUGGAUAUGAGGUGAUGAGAAUAGUACUUUACUUCUGUGGUCUUCUUCACAAAACCCAUAGCUAACCAUAAGGAAAAACAUUAGACAAACCCAAAUUGAAGAACAGUCUACAAAAUACUGAUCAGUACUCAAAAUUGUCAAGGUCAUCAAAAACAAUGAAGUGUGAGACACUAAGGAGACAUGACGACUAAAUGUAAUGUGACAGCAUGAAUGGGAAAAGAACAUUAGAUAAAAAUUAAGGAAACCCAAAUAAAGUAUGGACUUCAGUUAAAAAUAAUGUUAUGAGGGAUCCCUGGUUGUGACAAAUGUUCCACAGUAAUGUAAAAGGAAACAGAGUAUAUAGGGUAUAUAAGAACUCUCUGUAAUAGUCUUGCAACUUUUCAAUAAACAUAAACUUAUUUUAAAAUAAAAAACUUUAUUAAAUUAGGAAGAAGGUAUAGAAAGUACCUGCAUAUACAGGAGUUCAAUAAAUAGUAGCUCUGUUAUUUUUUAAAAUGAUUUUUGCCAUUUUGAAAAGUGAAAGGAAACAUUCUUGUUGUUGUAAUUUUAAUCUCUUUGGUUACUAAUGAGGCUGGCCUUGCAAAAACGUUUGUCUUUGCUUUUCAUAUUCAUGUCCUUUAUCUGGUUUUUGUAGUUUCUGGAUUCUUCUGAUUUAUCUGGCCUCUCUAAGAUGAUCAAACUUCCCAGUUUGUCAGGGAGAGGUCUAAUUUAUGUGCCCUGUCCCAGCUAAUGAUUAAUAAGAACACUUUUAAUUGAGAAAGUAAAUUGUAUGGUCACCCUCCCAUGUCCCAUUGCUGCCCUCACGUUGUUUGUGUUCUCCCACAUAACUGCCACUCCAGCUGCUAAUCCGCACUGUCCCUUUUCACUGCUGGCGCCCAAGAUACACCUUGACACUUGAACGGGGCGAGUGUUGGGGAGCUAGUAGUCUUCUGCUACAACUACACUUUUCAGAAGAUAGAAUCUCAAUAUCAAUUACAAUUCACUUCAUACUGCAAUACCCAGCCUUCCACCUUCCACGGUGUUCUAAACGCCUGCAGGUCCCCUGCCCAACUCUUGUGUUCUGAAGGACAGUUUCCUCUGCUCCUGCCCUCUCUGCUGGACUGCAUUCAAUGCCAGGCCCAACCCAAAAUGAGGCGGUACAGAGCUGUGGACACACGUCCCCUCACAGCCACCUUAGGAAGACAUCCUUCCCUCUCAUCCCUCCUCUUUCCUUCCUUCCUUCACUCCCUCUCCCACCUUCCUUUCCCUCCCCUUUCUCUUCCUCUCUUUUAUCUUACUUUCUUCUUACCUUCCCUUCUUUCCUUUCUGCCCUAUCUCCUUUUGUUUUGGCAAAGAGGAAGUUGUUUAUGGUUCAAUUUCUUUCUCCCCCUUCAUUUAUGAUGCAAAUAAGCUCACUGAAGAAAAUUAGAAAAUACGAAUAAGCUAAAAGAAAAAAAAAAUUCCACACCCAUGGAUAACAAUUACUACCAUUUUUUAGAAAGAUUUUAUUUAUUUGUUUGAGAGAGACAGAGAGAGAGCAAGCACACAAGCAGGGGGAGGGACAGAGAGAGAGAGGGAGAAGCAGACCCCCUGCUGAGCAAGGAGCCUGAUGCAGACUCAAUGCCAGGACCCUAAGAUCAUGACCUGAGCCAAAGGCAGAUGCUUAACCCACUGAACCACCCAGACACCCCAAUUACUAACAUUUUUAUAUAUCUUGGCCUCUGUCUUUUAGGAGCAGUAGAUCAAUAUGCAUAGUACUGUUGGAAUCAACAGCUUCCCAGCUCUCUCACAUUUUGGCCAUGUGACCUUGAAUAACUUACUUAACCUAAGCCUCAGUUUUCACAUCUAUAAAAUGAGGAUAAAUGGUGUAUUAUUUAUUAAAAUACAUAUUAUUAUUUAUGUCCAGAUAAAACAAGACAAUAUAUGUAAAUCACUUAGCACAGUGCCCAAAACAGAACAGGUACUAAAUAAAUGGUAGCUUUUACUAAUAAUACAUGUUUUGUCAAACAUGAGAUCAGACCAACAUUUCAAAUUUGGUACCCUGGUGUUUCACUCAACAAAAUACAGAACUAAUAUAUGACUAAAUAUAGGUCUGCAUUCUCAUUUUUGCUAUGUAUUUCUGUGCUGCAUUUUUAUUUUGAAAUACAAUGAGGGGGGAUCCCUGGGUGGCGCAGCGGUUUGGCGCCUGCCUUGGCCCAGGGCGCAAUCCUGGAGACCCGGGAUCGAAUCCCACGUCGGGCUCCCGGUGCAUGGAGCCUGCUUCUCCCUCUGCCUGUGUCUCUGCCUCUCUCUCUCUCUCUCUGUAUGACUAUCAUAAAUAAAUAAAAAA
rnacentral:lncRNA from 1 species